GGAUGUGGCCAUAGAAUUCUCUCAGGAGGAGUGGAAAUGCCUGGACCCUGCUCAGAGGACUCUAUACAGAGACGUGAUGCUGGAGAAUUAUAGGAACCUGGUCUCCCUGGGAUUUCUAUGAUGACUGGAUGUUGAAUUUUGUGAAAUGCUUUUUCUCCAUCUACUGAGGUGAUGUGGUUUUCAUCUUUCAUUCUCUUCAAGUGGAAUAUCACAUUGAUUUGCUUGAGUAUGUUGAACCAUCCUUGCAUCCCAGAAGAUUGAUUUCUAAAAACUCUUGGUAUGUGAGGAAGAAACUCGGAAGAGGAAGAGGAAAGCAGAGGAGUCAGGGAUGGCUCCUCCUCAGGGUCUACUGACAUUCAGGGAUGUGGCCAUAGAAUUCUCUCAGGAGGAGUGGAAAUGCCUGGACGCUGCUCAGAGGACUCUAUACAGAGACGUGAUGUUGGAGAAUUAUAGGAACCUGGUCUCCCUGGAUAUCUCUUCCAAAUGCAUGAGGAAUACAUUGUUGUCAACAGGGCAAGGCAAUACAGAGGUGUUCCACACAGGGACAUUGCAAAGACAAGCAAGAUAUCACAUUGGAGCAUUGUGCUCCCGGGAAAUUGAGAAAGACAUUCAUGACUUUGUGUUUCAGUGGCGAGAAGAUGAAACAAAUGAUCAUGAAGCACCCAUGACAGAAAUAAAAAAGUUGACAGGUAGUACAGACCAAUAUGAUCAAAGGCUUGCUGGAACCAAGCCUGUUAAAGAUCAGCUUGGAUCAAGCUUUCAUUUGCAUCUGCGAAGACAUAGGAGAAUUCAUACUGGAGAGAAACCUUACAAAUGUGAAGAAUGUGAGAAAGUUUUCAGUUGCAAAUCACAUCUUAAAAUACAUAGGAGAAUUCAUACUAGAGAGAAACUAUACAAAUGUAAGGUUUGUGACAAGACUUUUAAGCAUGAUUCACACCUGGCACAACAUACUAGAAUUCAUAGGGGAGACAAACAUUACACAUGUAAUGAAUGUGGCAAGGUUUUUGAUCAAAAAGCAACCCUUGCAUGUCAUCAUAGAAGUCAUACUGGAGAGAAACCUUACAAGUGUAAUGAGUGUGGCAAGACCUUCAGUCAGACGUCACACCUUGUAUACCAUCAUAGACUGCAUACUGGAGAGAAACCUUACAAGUGCAAUGAGUGUGGCAAGACCUUUGCUCGAAAUUCAGUCCUUGUAAUUCAUAAGGCAGUUCAUACUGCAGAGAAACCUUAUAAGUGUAAUGAAUGUGGUAAGGUUUUUAAGCAACGAGCAACGCUUGCAGGACAUCGUAGAGUUCAUACAGGAGAGAAACCUUACAGAUGUGAAGACUGUGACAAAGUUUUCAGUCGCAAAUCACAUCUUGAAAGACAUAGGAGGAUUCAUACUGGAGAGAAACCAUACAAAUGUAAGGUUUGUGACAAGGCUUUCCGGAGUGAUUCACGCCUUGCAGAACAUCAGAGAGUUCAUACUGGAGAGAGACCUUACACAUGUAAUGAAUGUGGGAAGGUUUUUAGUACAAAAGCAUACCUUGCAUGUCAUCAAAAACUGCAUACUGGAGAGAAACUUUACAAAUGUGAAGAAUGUGACAAAGUUUACAUUCGCAAAUCACACCUUGAAAGACAUAGGAGGAUUCAUACUGGAGAGAAACCUCACAAGUGUGAUGAGUGUGGCAAAGCCUUUAAUUCACCUUCACACCUCAUUAGGCAUCAGAGAAUCCAUACUGGACAGAAAUCUUACAAAUGUCGUCAGUGUGGCAAGGUCUUCAGUCUGAGGUCACUCCUUGCAGAACAUCAGAAAAUUCCUUUUGGAGGCAAUUGUUUCAAAUGCAAUGAGUACAGCAAACCAUCAAACAUUAAUUGACUUUAGAGUCAAAUCAGCCUUGACCUGAGUUUGAGUUGACUUAACAUUGAGUUCAAGCAUUACCUGACAUUAAAGUGUUUAUGUUAAGAGAAUUGGGCCAGGCACAGUGGCUCACACCUGUAAUCCCAGCACUUUGAGGGACCAAAACAGGAUUUCCAUGAUGACUGGAUGUUGAAUUUUGUGAAACGCUUUUUCUCCGUCUACUGAGAUGAUGUGAUGUUCAUCUUUCAUUCUGUUCAAGUGGUAUAUCACAUUGAUUUGCCUGAAUAUGUUGAACCAUCCUUGCAUCUCAGAAAUAAGUGGCACUUGAAUAUCUACAAUCCUUUUUAUAUCUUCUUGAAUACAGUUUGCUAGUACAAGGGGUCUUCAGGAAGUUCAUGGAAAAAUACAUAUUAUGAGAAAAUUGUGCGUGAGGUCACAUAUUUUGCACCAAAAUAAACUGGUACAAAUCUGUUGUCA